AUUGAACGCUGGCGGCAGGCCUAACACAUGCAAGUCGAAUGGUAACAGGAAGCAGCUUGCUGUUUCGCUGACGAGUGGCGGACGGGUGAGUAAUGUCUGGGAAACUGCCUGAUGGAGGGGGAUAACUACUGGAAACGGUAGCUAAUACCGCAUAACGUCGCAAGACCAAAGAGGGGGACCUUCUGGCCUCUUGCCAGCAGGUGUGCCCAGAUGGGAUUAGCUAGUAGGUGGGGUAACGGCUCACCUAGGCGACGAUCCCUAGCUGGUCUGAGAGGAUGACCAGCCACACUGGAACUGAGGCACGGUCCAGACUCCUACGGGAGGCAGCAGUGGGGAAUAUUGCACAAUGGGCGCAAGCCUGAUGCAGCCAUGCCGCGUGUAUGAAGAAGGCCUUCGGGUUGUAAAGUACUUUCAGCGGGGAGGAAGGGAGUAAAGUUAAUACCUUUGCUCAUUGACGUUACCCGCAGAAGAAGCACCGGCUAACUCCGUG
rnacentral:rRNA from 1 species